AGGACGAACGCUGGCGGCGUGCCUAACACAUGCAAGUCGAACGAGGUCCAACCGGUAGCAAUACCGGUGAAGAUCGAGUGGCGAACGGGUGAGUAGCACGUGAGCAACCUGCCCCGAAGACCGGGACAACACCGGGAAACCGGUGCUAAUACCGGAUAUCCCCACUGAGUCGCAUGGCUCGGUGAGGAAAUGGAUUCCGCUUCGGGAGGGGCUCGCGGCCUAUCAGCUUGUUGGUGAGGUAAUGGCUCACCAAGGCUUCGACGGGUAGCUGGUCUGAGAGGACGAUCAGCCACACUGGGACUGAGACACGGCCCAGACUCCUACGGGAGGCAGCAGUGGGGAAUCUUGCACAAUGGGCGAAAGCCUGAUGCAGCAACGCCGCGUGAGGGACGAAGGCUUUCUGAGUUGUAAACCUCUUUCAGCAGGGACGAUUGUGACGGUACCUGCAGAAGAAGCCCGGCAACUACGUGCCAGCAGCCGCGGUAAU
rnacentral:rRNA from 1 species